UGAGAAGAGGAAGUAAAUGAGGCAGAGGGGGCACAACCAAGAUGAGAGAAAGGCAGCAGGUGUCCAGGAAAGCCUGGGAGAAGGGCUGGGCGUUCGAAGCUGCAGUGACCCCAGAUUGCGCCACUGUCCUCCAGCCUGGGCAAUAGAGCAAGACCCUUUCUCGAAAAUGAAAAAGAACAUUCUGGAGAGACAGAGAAGCAAGGGGGACCAGAAAGGGUAAGCGUGAGCCAGGUGGGGUGGGAGGACAGGCAGCCUACCUCGGGGCACAGCCAGGCCCUCCUGCCUGGCUCUCCAGGCCUUUCCAGAAUCCCCAUUUCCCUCCCAGACCCCAGGGUGCCUCAGACAAGAAAGGUCUCAAGGGCUUCUUUCCUCCCCACUCGGCCCCCUCAAGUCUUGCUCAGACCUAGAGAGGAAGUGGUGGGUGAAGAAAUGAGAACCUCCCCUCCCACUGGCUCCCCUGCGUGUGUCUCCCCCACCGCCUGCCGCCAGCACCUCCGCUGGCCCCUUGAGGCUCCUUCGCCCCUCACCAUUCUCCUCGGACUUGAUCUUGCUCUCAUAGGCUCCACGGAAUCUGCUGCCGGGCCGGGCCAGGCCUCCGGAGGCGCCUCUGCACCCCUCCUGGGCUCCCCAGCUUUGCCCAGGCUCUGGCCUGUCUCUAUCUCUCGUUUGUCUCUGCACACCUCUCUGUCCCCCACAUCCUCCAUCUGCAGGGGGCCUCCUGCACCCCUCAACUCACCUUGGGUCAGUCCCUGGGCUCCUCUCCCUCCUAGAGCCACUCUUCCUGGUGCCGGACUAAGAGGUGCAGGCUUGGAGGGUGCAGGGCGGUCCGCCUUUCAGACGUAGAGGCCCGGCCUCGGAUGAAGGCGGAAGGGAGGGCACCGCCUGUUGCUGGGCAACUGUGCCCCAAAUCGCCUGCCCCUGGGGAGUGUUUGUUUCCAAAGCAACCCAAGGGGAUGUGGUCACUGCGGUGAGGAGGCUUUUCCUGGGGUAAGGUGGGGCUGGAAUGGGCAAUGGUUCUGUUGAACUUAGUGUCACCCCAUAGCCAGGCCCUGGGCCCCAGAACAUUCACCGAAAAGCUGAGAAAGAGGACGCCGGGGCCAGGCACAGUGGCUCACCCCUGUAAUCCCAGCAUUUUGGGAGGUCAAGGUGGGCAGGUCACCUGAGGUCAGGAGUUCGAGACCAGGCUGCCAACAUGGCGAAACCCCAUCUCUACUGAAAAAUACAAAAAUUAGCUGGGAUGGUGACAGGCACUUAUAAUCUCAGCUGCUCAGGCGGCUGAGGCAGGGAGAAUCGCUUGAACCCGGGACUUGGAGGUUGCAGAGAGCUGAGAUCGUGCCACCGCACUCCAGCCUGGGCAACAGAGUGAGACUCCGUCUUAAAAAAAAAAAAAAAGAAAAGACAAGAAAAAGAAAUAGGACACUGGGACUUUAGCUCGUACAUUCCCAGAGAACCAUGGUGCCUCCCCCGUUCCUCCUGGGAGGAUGCCCCACCCCAUCCUGCCUUGUCUUAUCCACGGUGCCUCCCCAGAUCUGCUCCUGCCAUCCAGCCCCCACAGGCACCCCCUGCUUGGCCAGCUUGCUUCACGCCUUUUUUUUUUUUUUUCUGGUAGAGAUGGGCUCUUGCUAUGUUGCCCAGGCUGGUCUC
rnacentral:lncRNA from 1 species